AUGCUUUCUUUUGUCCACCUGGCACUUCCAGGGUACAUCCUGGUGCAAAAUCAUUGGAAGAAUGUGAUCCCUGCUCAGCUGGCUACUACUGCCCAGACCCAGCACAGACAGGGCUGCCUAACACCCAAGGAGUACCUUGUGAACCUGGCUAUGAAUGCCCAGCAGGUUCAGUCAGUCCAAAGCCUUGCAGGCCUGGCUCAUACUGCAGUGCUCAGACAGCUGUGCCCUCCGUGUGCCCUGCUGGGUAUUACUGCCCUGAAGGCUCAUCAACAUACAAUAACCCUGAGCAGCUAUGUGUGUUUCCCUAUUACUGUCCCCCAGGCAGUGCCCACCCACUGCCCUGUGAAGGAGGAUACAUGGCCCUCAGCUCGCCUGGGCCGAGGGAUUCCUUUGAGAAGUUCUGCAGAAUCUGUGAUGCAGGCAGCUAUCGUAAUGACUCUUUCAUCUCUGCUCCCUGUCAGCCCUGCCCAGCAGGCUUCAUCUGCCCACAAGGUAAAUGUGGCUGCUAUGGAGAAGUUGUGCAAGAAAUAA
rnacentral:lncRNA from 1 species